AGUAAAAUGGCUGAAGGAAUAAGUGAUAAAUUGUAAAUUUAUUUAUAAAUAUUAAAAAUAUUUUUUUACUA
rnacentral:tRNA from 1 species